rnacentral:rRNA from 1 species
UACGUAGGGGGCAAGCGUUGUCCGGAUUUACUGGGCGUAAAGAGCGCGUAGGCGGAAGCUUAAGUGUGGCCUGAAAGCCCCCGGCUCAACCGGGGAAGGUGGCUGCAAACUGGGUUUCUUGAGGGCGAUAGGGGAGAGCGGAAUUCCUGGUGUAGCGGUGAAAUGCGUAGAGAUCAGGAGGAACACCGAUGGCGAAGGCAGCUCUCUGGGUCGGCCCUGACGCUGAGGCGCGAAAGCGUGGGGAGCGAACGGG